AACACGUCCGUACUACCCGAUAGCCAGUGGUAAAUGUUUUUGAAACGCGAUUGUCGUUAUUUGUUUGAACGUCUUCAUCCCUCCGGCUGGAAGGUACAAACGUUCAACGGAAUUAUUUAUGCUUUCGAUACGGUUUGAAGCUGCUAUAAAUAUUCGGUUGACAUAAAUGUGUAAGCUUCAUCGACCAUGCGAAGACCGAAGAGUCCAUGUGCAGAAAUAUGAUGAGUGUAUAUUGUACAUUUAAAUAUCAGUACCUGUGCCUACUUGAUUGGUUAAACCAGCAUUCAUUGCAGCGUGUACUGCAGUAAGAAAACGUACGAUAAGAGAAUGUCCAGUUGUAGCGUCUCUAAAAGCUUCGAUGUUACACUAUGCGAAGAGUAUUUAAGUGGAAAUGGGAGG